rnacentral:rRNA from 1 species
GAUGAACGCUGGCGGCGUGCCUAAUACAUGCAAGUCGAGCGAACGGACGAGAAGCUUGCUUCUCUGAUGUUAGCGGCGGACGGGUGAGUAACACGUGGAUAACCUACCUAUAAGACUGGUAUAACUUCGGGAAACCGGAGCUAAUACCGGAUAAUAUUUUGAACCGCAUGGUUCAAAAGUGAAAGACGGUCUUGCUGCCACUUAUAGAUGGAUCCGCGCUGCAUUAGCUAGUUGGUAAGGUAACGGCUUACCAAGGCAACGAUGCAUAGCCGACCUGAGAGGGUGAUCGGCCACACUGGAACUGAGACACGGUCCAGAGUCCUACGGGAGGCAGCAGUAGGGAAUCUUACGCAAUGGGCGAAAGCAUGACGGAGCAACGCCGCGUGAGUGAUGAAGGUCUUCGGAUCGUAAAACUCUGUUAUUAGGGAAGAAAAUAUGUGUAAGUAACUGUGCACAUCUUGACGGUACCUAAUCAGAAAGCCACGGCUAACUACGUG